rnacentral:rRNA from 1 species
CCUACGGGAUGCAGCAGUGAGGAAUAUUGGUCAAUGGACGCAAGUCUGAACCAGCCAUGCCGCGUGCAGGAUGACGGCUCUAUGAGUUGUAAACUGCUUUUGUACGAGGGUAAACCCCGAUACGUGUAUCGGGUUGAAAGUAUCGUACGAAUAAGGAUCGGCUAACUCCGUGCCAGCAGCCGCGGUAAUACGGAGGAUCCGAGCGUUAUCCGGAUUUAUUGGGUUUAAAGGGUGCGUAGGCGGUUUGAUAAGUUAGAGGUGAAAUGUCGGGGCUCAACCCCUUCCCGCCAUUGAAACUGGCGUUCUUGAGUGGAAGAGAAGUAUGCGGAAUGCGUGGUGUAGCGGUGAAAUGCAUAGAUAUCACGCAGAACCCCGAUGGCGAAGGCAGCAUGCCGGCUUCCGACUGACGCUGAAGCACGAAAGCGUGGGGAUCGAACAGGAUUAGAUACCCCUGUAGUC